UGUGAAUGAUAACCUAUACUAUUUAGUGAGUGUGUAUGCCUAUGGCAUGUUAGCAGAUGCAAUGAAACCUUUUAACAAAAUUAAUGUUAAACACAAUCUGUGUCAUAACACUCUCUGCAGAGUGAUUUAGCUCAAAAAGCUUAGUUUUGAGUUUUAAAUUUUUUUUGAUAAAUUAUUUUGAGUCUAUUCAACUUCAACCAGUACUUUGUAUUACAAAUAGUAUAGGAUGUGUGUUGUUCUAGUCUCAAGAUGUUUCCUAUGUUAACCCUUAGAUAUAUUUUCCCAGCUGUCUCUGGUUAUCAGGAAAAUGUGCCUUUAAAAAAAAAUUCUUUUAGUAUUUGUAUAAACUGGCCUUAGCACAGUGAUGCUCAAACUGUGACAUGCAGGCCAUUUCUGGCCCCAGCCACCGCGCUGUCUGCACACAGUGCAGGUAAUAGCCAGAAAAAGAAGAAAAAAUGUUGGAUUGAUGUGUUUUUUAAAUUUCUGUGUUCCCUCUAGACAAAAAUGUUUGGGCAAAGAAAGUGUUUUCACUGUCCUUGUGUUGGCAUAAUAUUGUAAAUAUACUAAAACAAUUAUAUGUUGUUUUUCUGGACAGAAAUAAAUCCAUUGCUGCAAGC